AUGUCUUCACCGCCACGCAACCCGUCUCUUCCGCUGCCGGUCACGACCGUCGCCCCGCUCCUGCCCGCGCCGGGAUCCUCCGUCGCGCCCGCCCCCGUCGUCCUCACCCCGGAGGUGUCCGGGGCGCUGCGGGACCUAACACAGGCGGUCCAGGAGAUCCACCUGUUCUUGGCCGGGUCCUAUGGGCCGCACCCGGCUGCGCCGCCCAUCACCGCCACCGCGCCGCCGUGGCUGCCGUGGCAGCCGCCGCACCAAGCGGCCCCCGCCGCGCUUGCCGGGCUGCUGCAGCAGCCGCUGCAGCUGCCAUCCAUCGCCCCGUCCUGGCUGUCGUGGCAGCCGCCGCACCAGGCGGCCUCCGCCGUGCUCGUCGGGCUGCUGCAGCAGCCGCUGCAACUGCCAUCCACCGCCACCACCGCCCCAUCCUGGCUGCCGUGGCAGCCGCCGCACCAGGUGGCCUUCGCCGCGCUCAUCGGGCCGCUGCAGCAGCUGCCAUCCACCGCCCCGCCCUGGCUGCAGUGGCAGCCACCGCUCCUGGCGACCUCCGCCGCGCCCGGCGCUCCGCCGCAGCAGCCGCUGCAACUGCAGCAGCCAUCACCGGUCAGCUCUGGCCCCGCAUCGACCGCGCCGACGGGAGUCCCGAUCCACCAGAUCAAGUUCCCGCUGUCGCCAUCACCGCUUCCCCAGGGCGUCCCCAUUCAGCAGAUCAAGCUUCCGCCGUCGCCGUCACCGCUUCCAGCUUGGAUCACUACCCGCCACGUGUCGACGACGGUGAGGCUGUAG
rnacentral:rRNA from 1 species